CAGCAGUAGCCGCGGGAAUACAGAGGGUGCGAGCGUUAAUCGGAUUUACUGGGCGUAAAGCGUGCGUAGGCGGCUUCUUAAGUCGGAUGUGAAAUCCCUGAGCUUAACUUAGGAAUUGCAUUCGAUACUGGGAAGCUAGAGUAUGGGAGAGGAUGGUAGAAUUCCAGGUGUAGCGGUGAAAUGCGUAGAGAUCUGGAGGAAUACCGAUGGCGAAGGCAGCCAUCUGGCCUAAUACUGACGCUGAGGUACGAAAGCAUGGGGAGCAAACAGGAUUAGAUACCCGGGUAGUCCCUGUCUCUUAUAC
rnacentral:rRNA from 1 species